GAUGAACGCUGGCGGCGUGCCUAAUACAUGCAAGUCGAGCGAACGGACGAGAAGCUUGCUUCUCUGAUGUUAGCGGCGGACGGGUGAGUAACACGUGGAUAACCUACCUAUAAGACUGGGAUAACUUCGGGAAACCGGAGCUAAUACCGGAUAAUAUUUUGAACCGCAUGGUUCAAAAGUGAAAGACGGUCUUGCUGGCACUUAUAGAUGGAUCCGCGCUGCAUUAGCUAGUUGGUAAGGUAACGGCUUACCAAGGCAACGAUGCAUAGCCGACCUGAGAGGGUGAGCGGCCACACUGGAACUGAGACGCGGUCCAGACUCCUACGGGAGGCAGCAGUAGGGAAUCUUCCGCAAUGGGCGAAAGCCUGACGGAGCAACGCCGCGUGAGUGAUGAAGGUCUUCGGAUCGUAAAACUCUGUUAUUAGGGAAGAACAUAUGUGUAAGUAACUGUGCACAGCUUGACGGUACCUAAUCAGAAAGCCACGGCUAACUACGUG
rnacentral:rRNA from 1 species